UGGGGGAAUAUUGCACAAUGGGCGCAAGCCUGAUGCAGCCAUGCCGCGUGUGUGAAGAAGGCCUUCGGGUUGUAAAGCACUUUUGUCCGGAAAGAAAUCCUUGGCUCUAAUACAGUCGGGGGAUGACGGUACCGGAAGAAUAAGCACCGGCUAACUACGUGCCAGCAGCCGCGGUAAUACGUAGGGUGCAAGCGUUAAUCGGAAUUACUGGGCGUAAAGCGUGCGCAGGCGGUUUGCUAAGACCGAUGUGAAAUCCCCGGGCUCAACCUGGGAACUGCAUUGGUGACUGGCAGGCUAGAGUAUGGCAGAGGGGGGUAGAAUUCCACGUGUAGCAGGUGAAAUGCGUAGAGAUGUGGAGGAAUACCGAUGGCGAAGGCAGCCCCCUGGGCCAAUACUGACGCUCAUGCACGAAAGCGUGGGGAGCAAACAGGAUUAGAUACCCUGGUAGUCCACGCCCUAAAAGCGAUGUCAACUAGUUGUUGGGGAUUCAUUUCCUUAGUAACGUAGCUAACGCGUGAAGUUGACCGCCUGGGGAGUACGGUCGCAAGAUUAAACUCAAAUGAAUUGACGGGGUCAUAGCUGUUUCCUG
rnacentral:rRNA from 1 species